AAAAAAAUCUGGAAAAAAGCAGAACUUUGUUGGUCAAGUUGGUGGUAUUGAUAUUUUUUCAGGGAGGUGGCUUUUUAAUCAGAAAGCCUCCCUUUCAACAAUGAAAAACACUGACUUAUUGAAAUAUUCAAAUAAUUGUUUGCAGUGAGAUUCCUUCUAUCAUUUUCCUUAACUUACUAUUGACCAUCCUAAAUCAAACGAGGAUGACAACGGAUACCUCUGAUGAGGAAGAAGCCACUGGUUGAGGAUGACCUCGCACUCCCCGUCCCAGGAGCCAGAAGCAGGGAGGAGGACCAACAGAUGAACUGAUGAUUCUGCAGUGAGCUAGCCAUUUCUGAUUCUUAAGAAGCGUGGAUGAGUCUUGGAUUGAUGGAGACUUGGAGAUGCCGAAUUUGGAGACACACCAAACUACCAUCACAGAUGUACCUUUAGGAAUCGAAAGCAGUGAGGAGGACCGACACAUGAACUGAAGACCCAGCUUACUGAGCUAGCCAUUUCUGAUUUUCAAGAAACCUGGCCGAGUAUUGAUGAGGACCUGGAUGGAGAGUCUGUUUGUUGACUUGAUGCCUGAAACCAUCAUCACAUAUGACCGAGGAACCGGAAGCAGGGAGGAAGAACGACAGAAGAACGGAAGACCCUGCUUGCUGGGCUCUCCAUUUCCGAUUUUUACAAAAAUGGAGCCUGUCAUACCUGGAUGAGAGUGGUCAGAUGAAGGGGCUUCUGUGUUUACGGCUGACUUUGCCCUCCUCACCCCACUUCUGCUGACACGAAGGAGGAGGAAGCAGAGAGGAGAACCUUUAGAGGACUGAACAUUAGCCACACUACUUGGGAUAUUAUCCAAAAGUUUAUCAUAGGUUUAUAGCUUGAAAAAAAACUACUUAUGUGACUUAUUAUUCAACGAGGAGGACAAGGAAGAACUGAGAUGUCACAGCGUCACAACUCAGUGAUGACGAACUGCAACAUUAGCCACACUACUUGGAAUAUUAUCAAAAAGUUUAUCAUAGGUUUAUAGUUAAAAAAAGACUACUUACAUGACUUAUUAUUCGACGAGGAAGACAAGGAAGAACUGAGAUGCCACAGUUUCACAAUUCAGUGAUGUCGAACUGCAAUGGACAUUAGUCACGCUACUUGGAAUAAAUCUAAAAGCCUUAUAAUUUGGUUGAUCAUAAGUUUUAAGUUUAAAAAAAAGACUGCUCAUGUAAUUUAUUAUUCGAUGAGGAAGACACAGAAGAACUGGGAUGUCACAGCAUCUGGGGCGCUGUCCUUAUCCACAUUUAAAAAAACAAGUAAAACCUUCCAAAGAAAACAAGAUUCAAAAACUCUUGAGUCAUCAAAAGGGACAUUGGCUGAUACUUGUUUGUAUGAACAUUAAGAAAGAAACAGAUACCAUCCUGCCCGAUAAUCAACAUAAAAAUCAUUAGAGAGUCAAACUAUAAUUUGUGACCUGAAGAAAAAGAGGUUGCUCUUUGAAAAGGUCAAUCAUCACUUUAUAGCCCAGAGUAAUGACAUUGUUUCUGAAUUGCUCCCUGUGUAUGAUGUGAUUUUCCCUGUGUACGGUGUGAUUAUUUCUUGUGUUCAGUGUGAUUAUUCCUUGUGUGCCGUGUGAUUAUUUCUGUGUAUGGUGUGAUCAUUUCUGUGUAUGGUGUGAUUAUUCCCUGCGUAGUGUAUUUUCUUCUAGUAUUUUUUGAUAAACUCCAACGAAAAUAGCGCAAAAUCAAAACUAGAGAGAAAUAAAUAAUACUUGAAAUCAGUGUUAUUUAUUUUCUCAAAGUUACAAUACGAUACGAUACGAUACGAUACGAUUGGGUACGAAACGAUACGAACGAUACAAUACGAUACGAUAAUGUUGGCGAGACAAAAAUAUUUCGAAAAGUGUUAUUUUUCUCACAAAAAAGACGGUCCAAAAAAAAAAGAUUUACGGUACGAUACGAUUAUACGAGAGCGGUGAACUUCGAAUUUUUUUGUCCAAAAAUUCAGCCGUGAAAGUUAAAGAAAUUAAACUGGAAAUCAUGCGAACAACAAAAGAAAGAAAUGCGAAGAAAAAUUAAAUUCCGGUAUAUUAAAACAAAGCGGAGGUGAGACGAAAUGCAUGAAAGAAAGAAAUGAUACUUGAAAAUCAUUGUUAUAUUUUUUUUCUCGAGAGGCUAUAUGACACGCCACGCCACGAUACGACACGAUACGAUAGCGGUGGUGAGCAAAAAUAAUGUUUGGAAAAAGUGUUAUUGUUCUCACCCAUAAAAAAAGUAGAGAAAGAAAUAUUACUUGAAAAUCAGUGUUAUUUAUUUCUCAAAGGUACGAUACGAUCCGACAUGAUCCGACACGAUACAAUAGCGGUGGUGUGAAAAAUAAUACAUGUAUUAGGAAAAAGUGUUAUUUUCUCACCCAUAAAAAAUGUAGGGAAAGAAAUAAUACUUGAAAAUCAGUGUUAUUUAUUUCUCAAAGGUACAAUACGCGAGGGUACGAUACGACACGAUACGAUACGACACAAUACGAUACGACACGAUACCGGUCGUGAGGAAAAUAAUAUUUGGAAAAUUGAUACUCGCCCAAAAAAAUGUAGGGAAAGAAAUAAUACUUGAAAAUCGGUGUUAUUUAUUUCUCGAAGUGAGGGAUGACUCGCCACGCCAUGAUAAGACACGCCAUGAUACGACACGGUACGAUACGACACGAUGCGAUACGACACGAUACGUGUUAUAAAAAGUGUUAUAAUUCGGCAAAAAAAAUUCAGCCUGAAAAAAUCAUGCAACCAACAAAAUAAAAUAAAUGGGACGAAAAUUGAAGUUAUGGUAGAAUAAAAAAGCGGCUGAGCACGAGACAAAUAACAUUUGUUAAAACAGUGUUAUUUUUCUCACCCACAAUAAUGCAACACAGCAUGUAAAACAAUACAAAAUGAUACGAAAUAAGUCAAUCGCGAUACCUUCUUGCAAAACCAAUGGCCACGAAAAUAACUGAUUCCAGCUUGCAACUCGAGAAAAAAACAGAAAUUUUUAAAUCAGUAAGAUUUCUACUGCAAAAAAGUGAAACAAAAUAAAUAAGGACAGACUAAAGUAAAGAAAUCGGCUACGAAUUUAUUUGAUUGGGAAAAAAAGCGGUAGUGACAAGAAAAACCAGUCAUGCCGCAUGUUUAUUGUCAAGUGUAUUGCCAAGCCAUCUCUCCUCGCGAUUUGUUUUUUCGUCGAAAUGUUCAGAUUUCUUCCUUCAUUCUUGAUCUGCAUCUCAUGACAUGUCACGUGUCACCUUCAAAAGAUUUAGUUUAGCUGUGUCUUUUAGUUUUUAAUUAAUUAGUAAGUCCGAUCUAUAAAUGCAUCGGCAGGGAUUCCUGUGGCUUAUAGUCACCUUCAAAAGUUUUCUUUCCAGCCGUGUCUUGAUUGUAAACCAGUAAGUCCGAUGUUCAACGAUCGGCAGUAAAACUUCUGAUAUUUGUCUCCUUCAGAAUGUUUAUUUUUGUUGAUAGGUAUUGUAGCACUAUGCCGUCUCCAAAAGUAACUUUUAGCCCCAUUUUGAAUUAGAGAAAUAUUGUAAGUCCGAUCUUCAACAAUCGGCAGGGAAACACUUGUGGCAUUAUGUCGCCUUCGAUUGAGAGUAAGUCCAGUGUGCAACGGUUGGCAAAAGCGUUAGACAUUAUUGUCUUCAGUAUUCAUACAUGUAUAUUCAUGUAUUAAUAGCAUUAAUGGAUUUGUCAAAGUGAGCCCCAUCGAUUUGCAGCUUUUUAUUUCUUUUUUCUCCCUCAUAAUAAUUAUGACUAUUGUGUUGGCCGGGUUUAAAAUAAGUACCGGGAGUCUUUUCUAACCAUGGUAGGCUAGGUAGGCUGGGUCGAGUUUUCUUUCUCCCUGUAGCUCAUUCAGCCAAGAGAUGAACAUGCAAGCGCGAGACUGAACGGAUGAGGAGAUGCUGCUUUGUCAGGAUGGAAACGAAUCCUUCCGAGGAACCGGAAGCAGGGAGGAAGACCGACGGACGAACGGAUGACUCUGCUUGCAGGGCUACCCAUUUCUGAUUCCUAAGAGGAAGGAAACUAGAAUACAUGGAUGAAAAUGGACAGAUGAAGAAGCUUCUGGUUGAGGAUGACCUUCCCUCCACAUCCCACUUCAGCUGGAACUAAGGAGCCGGAAGCAGGGAGGAGGACCAACAGAUGAACGGAUGAUCUGCUUGUCGGGCUGCCCAUUUUUUAUAUU